AGGACGAACGCUGGCGGCGUGCUUAACACAUGCAAGUCGAGCGGAAAGGCCCUUCGGGGUACUCGAGCGGCGAACGGGUGAGUAACACGUGGGUAACCUGCCCCUUGCUCUGGGAUAACUCCGGGAAACCGGGGCUAAUACCGGAUAUGACACUCGCAGGCAUCUGCUGGGUGUGGAAAGUUUUUCGGCGAGGGAUGGGCCGCGGCCUAUCAGCUUGUUGGUGGGGUGAUGGCCUACCAAGGCAGUGACGGGUA
rnacentral:rRNA from 1 species